rnacentral:rRNA from 1 species
AAUUUAAUUUAUUAAUAUUUUAUUUUUUAUAUUUAUUAUAUUUUUUAUAAAAAUAAUUUAAUAAUUUUUUGUUUUAGUAUUAAUUAAAAAUUAAUUUUUAGUUUUAUAGUUUAAUAGUAUUGUAAAAGAAUUAUUUAAAAUUUUUUAAAGAAUAAUUUUAGUACCUUUUGUAUCAGGGUUAAUUAAAAUUUUUAAUUUAUUUUAAAUUCUCAAAAUUUAUAGAGUUAAUUUUAUUAUUAAUUUAUUGUUAUAUAAAUAUUUAUAAAAUAAUAUUAGUUUUGAAAUUUAAUUCGUUAUAAUAUAUUUAGUUAUUUAAGAUUUAAAUUUAAUUUAAAAUUUUAAAAGUAAUGUUAAUUUUUUUUAUUAAUAUUUUAAAUUUAAAUUAUUUUAGGGAUAAGCUUGAAAUUUUUAUAUAAUUAUUAUUUAAAUUAAAAUAAUUUAUAGGAAUAGAAAUUUUUAUUUUAAGUUUGUAAAAAUUUAUUAUUUUUUUUUUUUUGAUUUAUUAUAUUUAUUUAUAUUUUUUAUUAAAUUUUAUUAAUUAAUAUUUUAUUAAUAGUAAUAAUGAUUAAAUUAGUAUAAUUAAAAUUUAUUAUUUAUGAAUUCGGCAAAAAUUAUUUUCAUCUGUUUAACAAAAACAUUGUAUUAAGUUUAAUUUAAUAUAGGAUCUGCUCAAUGAUUAAUUAAAUAGCUGCAGUAUUUUGACUGUGCAAAGGUAGCAUAGUAAUUAGUCUUUUAAUUGAGGACUAGAAUGAAAGAUUUGAUGAGAAAUAAACUUUAUUAUUAAUAUAGUUUGAAUUUUAUUUUUAAGUAAAAAGGCUUAAAUAUUUUAAAGGGACGAUAAGACCCUAUAAAACUUUAUAAUUUGAAAUUUUUAAUUUUUUUUGAAUUUAAUUAAUUAAAAUUUUUUAAUUAUUUUAUUGGGGUGAUAAAAAAAUUAAAUUAACUUUUUUUAAAAUUUAACAUUAUUUAGUGAUUAUUUGAAUUAAAAAUUUUAAUUAAAUGAAAAAGUUACUUUAGGGAUAACAGCGUAAUUAAUAUUUUAAGUUCAAAUUUUAAUAUUAGUUUGCGACCUCGAUGUUGAAUUAAGAUAAGGCUUAGGUGCAAAA